UCAGGAUUUAUGGUCACCAUGAGGAGAGAAACCAAGGGCAGGAGGCAUAGGAUAAAGAACUUGGAGAGUUGAAAACACAGUUCAGGGACUCACAGGAAGCAUCAUGACCAACACUGCCAAUUCUCCUGGUAGGAUUCACUUCCAGGGAGCAGCAGAACAAGGUCAGGAAGCCAGAAACCCUCUGAAAAUAGAACAGAUCCCUUUGAUGUCAAGAUACCACAACAUGAUCAUCAGUGGCUUGGAUCAUAAUGUGUAUCAGUCCUACUGCAAGAGGACUCCAUGGAUCAUGUAUGUCAAGUUCGUUAUCUGGCACAUGGAGGUGACCCACCCUUUGCUGAGAGCCCAUGAUCUAACACAUAAAGAAUAGAGCCCUUGAAACCCAUAGACCAUGUUCAUCCUGCAGAUGCCUGCAAAGACAGUCUCACUCCUCCUCCACUUCAUCUUAUCUUCUAACAGAAUGCCAGCAUGAUGAAAGGCAGAGACGAACAGAGCACAGUGUUUUCUUAAAGAGGCUCACAGUCUGGUGGGAAAAGAGAACAUGACAAAUAUUACAAGUAUUACAAGCAGGGUAUGGUGGGAAGCCAGGGAGAUUGGAGGGGAUCUUCAAAGACAAGUAACAGGAAGCAGGCGAGGAGGUGGGUGAAUGUCUUUCCAGGCAGUGGGUACAGCUUUAUAAAAUCCUAGAGGUUAGAGAGCAGUCAAUCAUUCCACCAGGCUGUUGGGUGCAACCCUAGGAGUUCAGGGGUCAGGGGUCAGGGGUCAGAUCAAGAGCAAGUCAUGCUGAGGAGCUUAGACUUCAUGCAAUAACUAGAGGGCUGUAAGAACUGGACUACCAUUACCACAUUUAGAAUUUAGAGAGGUCAUUGAUCACAACAAGAUUUUACUGGAGGAGGCCAGCGUGCAUCAGAGAAUGUAGGUUAGGAACACAUUGUGUAAUUCAGAAGGGCCAUGAAUUAAAGAUGGACAGUGUGGGGCAGAGAGAACACACGGUAGAGGCUGUAGACACUCCCUAAGCCCCCCAAAGCUGUUAGCAUCCUUGCCAACAUUUUCUUUGCCCCUCUUCCCACUGGACUUGGGCUGAAAUGUCCACAUCUCCCAACACUGUGCUUCUUUCUUGGAAAUACUACUUGGCCACUGGAGGGCCCUGCCCACAGGCAUGAACAGCUCAAAGUGACUAGAAGUUCUCUAUCCACACACUACCCUCAUCUCCACGAACCCCACAAAUUCC
ensembl:lncRNA